rnacentral:rRNA from 1 species
CCUACGGGAGGUAGCAGUGGGGGAUAUUGGACAAUGGGGGGAACCCUGAUCCAGCGACGCCGCGUGAGUGAAGAAGUAUUUCGGUAUGUAAAGCUCUGUCAGCAGGGAAGAAAGAAAUGACGGUACCUGACCAAGAAGCCCCGGCUAACUACGUGCCAGCAGCCGCGGGAAUACGUAGGGCGCAAGCGUUAUCCGGAAUUACUGGGUGUAAAGGGAGCGUAGACGGUUAAGUAAGUCUGGAGUGAAAGGCCGGGGCCCAACCCCGGGACUGCGCUGGAAACUAUUGAACUUGUGUGCAGUAGAGGUAAGCGGAAUUCCUAGUGUAGCGGUGAAAUGCGUAGAUAUUAGGAGGAACACCAGUGGCGAAGGCGGCUUACUGGACUGUAACUGACGUUGAGGCUCGAAAGCGUGGGGAGCAAACAGGAUUAGAUACCCGAGUAGUC